rnacentral:rRNA from 1 species
AUUAGCUAGUUGGUAGGGUAACGGCCUACCCAGGCGACGAUCAGUAGGGGAUCUGAGAGGUUGAUCCCCCACACUGGUACUGAGAUACGGACCAGACUCCUACGGGAGGCAGCAGUAGGGAAUAUUGGGCAAUGGGCGCAAGCCUGACCCAGCCAUGCCGCGUGCAGGAUGAAGGCCUUUUCGGUUGUAAACUGCUUUUCUACAGGAAGAAACGCUCUCUGCGGAGAGAAUCGACGGUACUGUAGGAAUAAGCACCGGCUAACUCCGUGCCAGCAGCCGCGGUAAUACGGAGGGUGCAAGCGUUGUCCGGAUUUACUGGGUUUAAAGGGUGCGUAGGCGGAAAAUUAAGUCAGUGGUGAAAGCCUGCGGCUCAACCGCAGAAGUGCCAUUGAUACUGGUUUUCUUGAGUGCAGUGGAGGUAGGCGGAAUUUAUGGUGUAGCGGUGAAAUGCAUAGAUACCAUAAAGAACACCGAUAGCGUAGGCAGCUUACUACGCUGUAACUGACGCUGAGGCACGAAAGCGUGGGGAUCAAACAGGAUUAGAUACCCUGGUAGUCCACGCUGU